AGAGAGAGUUGAGAGUGGGCUUGGUGGGCCAUCACCCCCACCGCCUCACUCUCCUCUCUUUUCCUUAAAUACACACACAAGCAUAUUACAUACACACAUGCAUAACACACACACAUAAAAAGUGAGGCUUGCUCUUGCGCAGGAAAGAAAGAAACAGAGGAUACGGGGUGAGGUGAAAGGACCGACAAUUAGCGAUUGAGUAAAAAGAAACGUUGUGAGGUUGAGGAGUAACUUUGAGAUAUCUGACUGUUGAAGAAUAGGUCUACACACUAUACUCAGUCAGGUCGGGCCAAUAUGUUGUUUCUCCUUUUUGUCAGCUCUGUACAAAUCUUAUUUUGUUUGUAUAAAGAGAACGUAGGAGUGGAGAUUAACUGUGGUGGACUAUUCGAGGUGUUUGAUUUGUAUAUAUGAUGUUGUGGGUUGAUUAUGUUGUUAUGACGUUGGGGUUACGUAUUCAUAUGGAUUAAAUUAUUAUGUGCAUUUAUAUUUAUAAACACAGGGAUUGCUAUAAGUAUGACGUUUAGGGUAGAUAUAGCCCUUGUAGCGAAGGGGGUGCUACACAAGAAUACCGAGUGGUGGAGAGCAAUAAAAAAUUAUGAAAAGUUACUUGCAAAUAUGAUGAACAGACUGGGUGCAAUUGGAUGAUAAAAGUCAUAUUCAAAUCAAACAUGGGAUUAUUUAAAGUUACCAAGUAUGUCGGACCACAUACAUGCCUAAUGAAUGAGAUUUCUAUUGACCAUGGUAACUUAGGAAAGAGUAUGAUUGCAACACAUCUGUUGGGUAUGGUUCGUCAAGGCCCAUCUUGUGAUAUAAAAUAUGUCCAGCAGAUUGUGAAAAAUAGAUUUAGUUUUAAAAUCCCAUAUCAUAAGGCAUGGCAUGCUUUGAAAGCAGCUAGAGAACAAGUGUAUAGUACUUGGGGGAGUUCUAUUCAGAAAUUACCCAGAUAUAUGGCGGCAUUGUAAAAAUAGAAUCCGGGGACCGUUGUGGAGUGGUUGCAUGUGGAAACAGAUAGACCGGGACAGUACAUGUUGAAUUAUAUUUUUUGGGCUUUCAAACCAUGCAUUGAGGGAUUUCGCUAUUGUCGAGACGUUAUAAGUGUAGACGGAACCCAUUUGUACACGAAGUACAAGCAUAAACUGAUGGUAGUAAUAACUUUAUAUGCAAAUCAACAGGUGCUGCCGUUAGCGUUUCCACUCGUGGAUGAAGAAUCACUUGCGUCAUGGCGUUGGUUCCUAAACAUGCUUUCCAAAUAUCUAUUAUCGUGUGAGGAUGACAGAGUUUGUUUGAUUUCAAACCGACAAACUGGUUUGAUAAAUGUUAUAUAUCAUAUACCCACAUUCAAAUUUCCUCGCGGAGUACAUCAAUUUUAUUUACGUCAUGUCUGUUCGAAUUUUAACAACAAAUUCAAAAACAUCGAGUUGAAAGAUUUGGUUGGAGAGCUGGGGCAGAAGUCAAUUCUUGCAAAUUUGAUAGAAUAAUGGAAGAAAUCAAAGCAUUGAACGAGGAAGCAUAUAAUUGAACGGGUUAUCUUCAUCACACGUAUUUUCAAGUAAACAUUUUCGUGUAACACUGUUAGUUUUAUUCUGGACUAUCUGAAAGCAUUUUCAUCCGGCAUAAAACUCAACUAUUGAUGAUAAUAAUUUUGCUACUGUUGAGUACUAUACCUUAUAUCUACCCCGGUAAUAAGAUUACCUUCUACCGGGAGUGCCCAGAUGAUAGCGAUGUCAUACAGUGUUACAGUUGCCUCGCCAACCAAGAAACUGAAAGUAUGCGUCUCGGGACGCCAUCUCUCGACUAAUGCAGUUAUUAGGUAGGUGUUAAUCUCAAUAUGCCCACACUGUAAAACACCCAAAAACUCCAUAUUCUGGAGCACUUGCAAAACACAAGUGUGACGUGGGACUAAUUGAAUGACGUGAAAAAAAGAUGUCACCGCGUCGUACAUAUAAAGUUGUAUCCGGAGCUCCAAACACAUCUUACGAUGAAUGAUUUAAUUGUUCAUACAAAACACUUGUAUCAAUAGGACCAAAAUUAGCCAUAAUCACUCAAAAAAAUUUCUUCUUUUUUAAUUCUCUACAAAUUUUCACACCUUUUGAACUUUUUCUUCUACCUUUCUCGAUUGAAAAGUGUGAAAUGAAAAUUUUUUCUCUCGGGUGAGAAGUGUGCAAUGGUGAAAAGCUUGAAUUGCAGCUCACACUUAUGCAAUUCACGAGUGAAUAGUGCUGUUGUGCCACCGCUGGCUCAACCAACGAUGGCACAGCACCAUUGUCACAAAUCAGCUUGCAAAAUUGCAGGCUGCUUUGACCCUAUUUUUUUCUAUUUAAUUCAGUGAAGAACCGCUAUCUCAUAUAGCAGUUCUUUCACUGUUUAGUUUUUUUUAUUAUAAAAUUAUGUCACUCCGUCCAGUGAAUGGGGUGACUAGUUAAAUUCAAAUUUGUUUUUUACAAAAUCAGUCACUGCGAUUUUGAAUCGUGGUGAUUGAUUAAACACUUUUUUUUUUAAGAAAAAUUGUGGCAUCACAUUUUAAGAACGCGGUGCCACUCCAAAUUUUAAAACUUUCAAUUUCACUGCAUUUUUUUAUUUUUUUAUUAAUUUCCCCAUAAACUUGGGGCUAUUUUCGGCCAAUUCUAAAAAUAACUCAUAAUGAUACAAAUAUAUUUAGAGAAGUUGGUUUUCCUAAAUUUAAUCUCUGCAUCCAAUUUCUUAAUUUAAAUCCUA